rnacentral:lncRNA from 1 species
UUAUUUUGAAACCCUUAGACUCGAGAGUCUGUCUCCAUACCUCUAACCUCUCAAUAACACCGACCCUCGUCUCGUCUAUCAAGACUAUGUCAAGCAAAUAGCAUACACCAAGGCACAUCCCCUUGAAUAUGUCGGGUUAGAGUAUCCAUCACCAAGGCAAACAAGAGAGUGUUAAGCGCCGAUCCUUGAUGGAGCCCCAAAACCACUGGAAAAUGGUCUGAGUCGCCACCCACCGUCCUAACCCUAGUCUUAGAUGCAUCGUACAUGUCCUUGAUUACUCUGAUGUAGACUUCCGGCACGCUCUUCGCCUCCAAGCA